rnacentral:snoRNA from 1 species
GUUUGUGAUGAGAACAUGUCCUAGAGACAAUAGCAAUAAACCCAGCUCUUCGAUUUACGAAAAUGAGAGGAAGUAUUGUCAAACGCUCUGAGA